GGGGAUAUAGCUCAGUGAGUAGAGUAUGUGCCUUGCAUGCAUAAGGCCCUGGGUUCCAUCCCCACACCACCA
rnacentral:tRNA from 1 species